AUCCGAUCGGCGACUUCGUUUGAGCUCAAGGUGGACAGGAAUCUAGAGAAAUGAAUGAAGUCAGUUGAAAAAAGUGACCUUAGACAUUUAUAGACAGACUUCUCCUUCGUGACCAACCGAUCGUGAAAUUCAUGUCCAUUUUACCACGUCUUCUGGAAUUCAUUGAAAACAUACAACGGAUCGAGAAUACCUACCAAGUAAUUGAUCAUUCUCGUGGAGUGCAAUGUCGCAAUAAAAAAAUAGGGAACAGAACAAUCGCGAAACAUUAAAGGACGACCAUAAGAACGGUAUAUGUUCGCCAGAAAUUCAAAAAGAAACAUGAAAGAUGAAAAUAUAUCGGCGAUAACUCCUCAAUUCACUAACGAAGUAAUAAACUAGGAUGAGUAAAUUUUUUUGCAUGUCAGUUUUUAGCCAAUACCUCGGAAUUGAAGGAACAUAGCGAAUUUUUUAUAUAACCAUUUUUUCUAGAGAAAGAUGAGAGCUACAAAAAAGGUAUCUAUAAAAAAAUCGUUAUGUCUCUUAAAUUUUGAGAUAUCGGUUAAAAACUGACCGCGAAAAAUGGGCUUAUCGUAGUUUACCACUUCGCUGAAGAAUUUAUCAUUUAUCAACCAAUAUAUCACUGCCAGUAAAAGAUAAGCCAAUCUGAAUCAUGAAA